GAGACACCCUUAUGGAGCAGGACUUGCUUCAAUGAGGCUUUGGUGUUCACUGAGUCUGCCCCUUGAGAGUAUCGCU
rnacentral:pre_miRNA from 1 species